ensembl:lncRNA
AGCUCCUUUGCAGCUACUUGCUUUCCCAUUUCAUCUGCUCAGGAUAAACUACCCAGAGUCCAAAGUCUGCAUUGAGGUCUUUGAUGAUAUGAGUACCACGAACCCAAUCCCGAAGGCUCCAACUGGUGCCUGAGGGAAGGCCACCUUCAUCCAAGUCUGUCGAGGUCCAGAGGCUGUACGCCCACGUCAGACCUUCCUUUGCACAUCCCAAAAAAGAGCAAUCAAGAAGUGACCAUCCCAGGCUGUGGGAUGAACUUCUCUAACGCACAGCUCCAAAGCACUUUGUACUGCCCAGUGGCUGCCUCCGACCCCUGGGCCCUUCACAGUUCAUGCUGUCACCACUGCAGUGUCCCAUAGGGACCUCUCCUUGCCCCUUUCCUUUCCAGGUUUAAUCUGCUGUUUGAUUUCAUCUCUGGAUGAGAAGCAGCUCAGGCCUCAGUGCAGCAUUAAGGAUGCACAGAACCACUGAGGGCUGUUGCUCCAGCAUCCACUGUUGGCCUCGAGGCUCCAAAACAUCCCCCAGACGUUGCCCAGGGGACUAUAAAUUUGCUUCUAUCUCUCCGGACUUUGAAGGACAGACAUUUUCUCUUAAAUAGACCUUCUCUGUUUUCAUUCCCUUAUUUAUCUGGAGCUGACACUUUAACGCAGUUGGAAGCAGCCAGGCACUAAAAACAAAGAGAAAACCGAGUCCUUGACUUCUUCUGAGACUCGCAGCCUGUGUUUAAGGAGAAAAAAAAAUCCAACAAACAUAGAAAGUGCUUUUACAGAUUUGUCUCUUUGGCUUUUCUAAAACAUCAAACAGAGCAAAGACUGGCGGGUUCUUCUAUUUCAUGAGAUCCUAAAAAAAAAAAAGAAUAAAAAUAUUAAAGGAAAGAAGCCAAGGAACAAAAGAAUCAGUGCAUGAGGUGCUCCUUCGGUUUCUUGGGAAAAUGUGCUGUGAGGCUCGAGACGGCUUGUCUGCAUUGCAAACCUUCACUUUGGGCUUUUGAAACACAUUUAACUACAUACUUGACCCUUUGUGCGGAUAAUGUGCCUCCAAAAAGAAGCGAGGGAAGGAAGGAAGAAAAGAACUGGUUUUGCUCCUAUUAUCUUCAAAGACCGCAGCAUUUCUGCAGGGCUGCUGGGUGAGCUGGGGGAAGGCUCAGCCUCCUCCCUCCCCGCUGCUGGGAGCUGUGCCCUGGCUCUGGGGGGCUCCGUUCCUUCCCAACCGCUCAGUGCACCUCAUUGCAGUGGGCAAUGAGCUCAGCGGAAACCGUUCCAAAGGCUGAAAUCAAGGCCUUCCACUUCACGUUCAAGUACUGCAUAAGGCAAAAGUCAGUACCAGG